CCUACGGGUGGCAGCAGUGAGGAAUAUUGGUCAAUGGACGAGAGUCUGAACCAGCCAAGUAGCGUGAAGGAUGACUGCCCUAUGGGUUGUAAACUUCUUUUAUAAAGGAAUAAAACGAGGCACGUGUGCCUUUUUGCAUGUACUUUAUGAAUAAGGAUCGGCGAACUCCGUGCCAGCAGCCGCGGUAAUACGGAGGAUUCGAGCGUUAUCCGGAUUUAUUGGGUUUAAAGGGAGCGUAGAUGGGUUGUUAAGUCAGUUGUGAAAGUUUGCGGCUCAACCGUAAAAUUGCAAUUGAUACUGGCAGUCUUGAGUACAGUUGAGGUAGGCGGAAUGCGUGGUGUAGCGGUGAAAUGCUUAGAUAUCACGAAGAACCCCGAUUGCGAAGGCAGCUUACUAGACUGUGACUGACAUUGAUGCACGAAAGUGUGGGGAUCAAACAGGAUUAGAUACCCGGGUAGUC
rnacentral:rRNA from 1 species